rnacentral:rRNA from 1 species
CGAACGCUGGCGGCGUGCUUAACACAUGCACGUCGAACGGAAAGGCCCUGCUUUUGUGGGGUGCUCGAGUGGCGAACGGGUGAGUAACACGUGAGUAACCUGCCCUUGACUUUGGGAUAACUUCAGGAAACUGGGGCUAAUACCGGGUAGGAGCUCCUGCUGCAUGGUGGGGGUUGGAAAGUUUCGGCGGUUGGGGAUGGACUCGCGGCUUAUCAGCUUGUUGGUGGGGUAGUGGCUUACCAAGGCUUUGACGGGUAGCCGGCCUGAGAGGGUGACCGGCCACAUUGGGACUGAGAUACGGCCCAGACUCCUACGGGAGGCAGCAGUGGGGAAUAUUGCACAAUGGGCGGAAGCCUGAUGCAGCAACGCCGCGUGCGGGAUGACGGCCUUCGGGUUGUAAACCGCUUUCGCCUGUGACGAAGCGUGAGUGACGGUAAUGGGUAAAGAAGCACCGGCUAACUACGUG